CUGGUCUAGUGUUUGAGUUUUGAAGGGUGUGUGACUGUGAUUACUCGUCCGCGCCACUGUGUGCCGCUCAGGAUGUUGCAGCAGCAGCCUCUCACUGGCAACGGGCCCUCUAACGGCCGGGGCCUUGGCCUGAGCUCUCACCCCGGUAUGCACCCUCUAAACUCGGUUCAUCCAUCUUCCCACCACCGCUCCGAUGGAGACACGGGCCACGAAGGCGCAGAAAAUGGACAUGAAAGCCGCAGAGACAUUGGUGACAUAUUGCAACAAAUCAUGACCAUCACCGACCAAAGUUUGGACGAAGCACAAGCAAAAAAACACGCAUUGAAUUGCCAUCGAAUGAAACCAGCUUUGUUCAGCGUCUUAUGCGAGAUCAAAGAGAAAACGGGCCUAUCAAUGCGAAAUGCUCAGGAGGAAGAAUCACAGGACCCACAGCUGGUGCGAUUGGACAACAUGCUGCUGGCGGAGGGUGUGGCUGGGCCGGAGAAAGGUGGCGGGGCGGCAGCGGCGGUGUCCGCAGCCACCAGCUCUGGAGGGAUGUCUCCAGACAGCUCACUGGAACACUCAGACUACAAAAGCAAGUUGAGCCAGAUUCGCAACAUCUAUCACACUGAGAUGGAGAAAUAUGACCAGGCCUGUAGUGAGUUCACUACCCACGUGAUGAACCUGCUGAGGGAGCAGUCGCGUACACGACCUGUGUCACCGCGGGAGAUUGAACGCAUGGUGGCCAUCAUCCACCGCAAGUUCAGCUCCAUCCAGACACAACUCAAGCAGAGCACCUGCGAGGCCGUCAUGAUCCUGAGGUCCCGCUUCCUCGACGCCAGGCGUAAGAGACGUAACUUCAGCAAGCAGGCGACGGAAGUCCUGAACGAGUAUUUCUACUCCCAUCUCGCCAACCCUUACCCCAGUGAAGAGGCCAAAGAAGAACUAGCCAAACAGUGUAGCAUCACUGUCUCUCAGGUGUGCAACUGGUUUGGCAACAAGAGAAUCCGCUACAAGAAGAACAUCGGGAAGUUCCAAGAGGAGGCCAACAUCUAUGCCAUGAAGACGGCCAUCGUGGCGACACAGAACGAGGACUCUCCACACACGCCCAACUCAACAGGUAAGAGCCGAGGAAAGGAAGCCAGGCCUAGUGAUACACACCACUGUUUUGAGUUUAUGGUUCAAUUGAUAAUAGAAAUGGAUGGGUUGUUAGUGUUUUUGUGUUACGGAGCAGCAAGGGGAACUGCCCCUCCGUACUUUCAGACUAUGCUCCAACCUUACAUUCCGACCCGCUCUGCCACCUCUGGUCUCUUAACCCUCCCAAACCUACCUCUACAAAGAGCUAUGCCUACAUUUAGGCUAAUGAAAUCAUUAUGGAACGGAGCGCAGACCAACCUGUAACAGUUUGAACCCAACGCAUGGCGCAAUACUUGGCUGUGUCAUCACACAGUUCCAUGGUUAGUGCGGGCAAUAGAUGAGGGUAUAGUCUACUAUUGUACACUAUCCUCCCUAUUAUAAUUCUACGUACACUGAUCUUCCAACAUAACCAUGGGUUAAAAACUGAAUUUGGUGAUUUUCACAAUGAAUCAAACAACUGUUUUCUUUCGUGCAUAAAGGCUCUCCAAACCUGUUUUUUCAUAAAUACUUUCCUAACCCUAAAUAAUCUACAAUCUAUCAGCUUUCUAUUUUUAAUUCUACCAAUUGGUUCUGAAACGGAGACGAAUAUGCAUAUAUUUAGAUGGCUUUCUUCCAUUGAUCGCUAAUAUUCUGAACCCAUUCUCUCGAUAUAUUCUGUUGAGUCUGUCAAAACAAAUUCUAACUAAAAGGUACACCAUAUUUAAAGGGAUGGCUUAAAAUAAAUGUGCUGAAAACCCUAUUGAAUGAAAACUCCACAAGAAAAUUGACCAGCAAGUGGGAGGGUUUACAGAGGUUGAAUUAAGUUUAAUCAGCACACGCAAGGGAACUAUGUCUGCAACUGAAUAAGAUACGUCUGAACACCAACUACUGAGAAGUGCGUAGGAAAGGCUUGCGUAAUUUCGUAGGAAAGACCUGCGUAAUUUCCUAAUGUGCUGUCGUGCCAACUCCUUGUCCAACGAUAGAAGUCUGCUUCACAGCACAAUCGGAUCUGGGACCAGGUUGAUGUUGUAGGCCUAGUAGCCCUUAUUAAAGACAUCUCCCCUUUUGUUCCUCCACAGGAUCAGAUCUGGGACCAGGUUGAUAUUGGAUGCCUAGUAGCCCUUAUUAAAGACAUCUCCCCUUUUGUUCCUCCACAGGAUCAGAUCUGGGACCAGGUUGAUGUUGUAGGCCUAGUAGCCCUUAUUAAAGACAUCUCCCCUUUUGUUCCUCCACAGGAUCAGAUCUGGGACCAGGUUGAUGUAGUCCUAGUAGCCCUUAUUAAAGACAUCUCUCCUUUUGUUCCUCCACAGGAUCAGAUCUGGGACCAGGUUGAUAUUGUAGGCCUAGUAGCCCUUAUUAAAGACAUCUCCCCUUUUGUUCCUCCACAGGAUCGGGGGGCUUCUCACUCACUGGACCAGACCUUUUCCUGGGUGUUCCACCAAUGAAUGGAGAGCAGCCUGUCUACAUGGGAGCACAAACUAAUGGGAACUGGCAAGGGCAAAACACGCCCCCCUCUGCCACUUCCCCGGGAAACGACCACUCGGGGGACUCUGACUGAUGGCCCCGCCCCCUUUGGGUCGAUGACAUAGAUGGAAAGAUUGACAACGGAGAAAGAAUGAUAUCACCCUUACUUGGCUGCAGUUUUUGUAUGUCCUUUCUGUUUCUUACUGUCCAAUGAUACUGUUCAUUAUGUUUGUAUGAGCUGAAUGUGUGAUUUUUGUGUGAGUGUGUGUGAUGUUUUGUAUUGGGAUCAUGGGUUUUUGUUUUCCACAACUUUAUAUGUUACUGUGGUAUGUAGGCAGGGAGGCUUGGGAAAUUGCGUUACCAUUGUUUUAUUAGGCUAUUAUAUUAAUGCUGUUAUUACAAAUAUUUUAGGAUUUUCAUUUAAAGCUCAGAUAUAGUUGCAUUUAGAGGAUGUGGGGGCAAUAUAGAAAAUCCAAAGAUUUAGUGUGUUUGUUUUCUCUUUUCUACUGGGCUUGUUUGUCUGUGUGUCUAUAUCAUGAAUGAAGUGUGUGUGCUGGUUAUAUUAACAGUUUGAAUGAGUAUAUCAACAGUGCUGUCAUUCUGUACAGUGAGUGAAAAACACCUGUAUUCUCUACCUCUUUUACAAUAAAGUCUCUGUAUUCACA